UACGUAGGGACCAAGCGUUGUUCGGAUUUACUGGGCGUAAGGGCGCGUAGGCGGCGUGGUAAGUCAGCUGUGAAAUCUCCGAGCUUAACUCGGAACGGUCAGCUGAUACUGCUGUGCUAGAGUACAGAAAGGGCAAUCGGAAUUCUUGGUGUAGCGGUGAAAUGCGUAGAUAUCAAGAGGAACACCUGAGGCGAAGGCGGGUUGCUAGGCUGAUACUGACGCUGAGGCGCGAAAGCUAGGGUAGCAAACGGG
rnacentral:rRNA from 1 species